rnacentral:rRNA from 1 species
GAUCAUGGCUCAGAUUGAACGCUGGCGGCAGGCUUAACACAUGCAAGUCGAGCGGGGAAAGGUAGCUUGCUACCUGACCUAGCGGCGGACGGGUGAGUAAUGCUUAGGAAUCUGCCUAUUAGUGGGGGACAACGUUCCGAAAGGAACGCUAAUACCGCAUACGCCCUACGGGGAAAGCAGGGGAUCUUCGGACCUUGCGCUAAUAGAUGAGCCUAAGUCGGAUUAGCUAGUUGGUGGGGUAAAGGCCUACCAAGGCG